AAGGCCCAGACAGCCAGGAUGUUGGCUUAGAAGCAGCCAUCAUUUAAAGAAAGCGUAAUAGCUCACUGGUCGAGUCGGCCUGCGCGGAAGAUGUAACGGGGCUAAACCAUGCACCGAAGCUGCGGCAGCGAACGUAUCACUUAAAGCGAUUCAGCGGGUUACGAUUGACGGAGCGAAGCGACGUCAAAGCGUAUACAAAGUCGAGUCGGUUUAAGGAUACGUUCGUUGGGUAGGGGAGCGUUCUGUAAGCCUGUGAAGGUGUGUCGUGAGGCAUGCUGGAGGUAUCAGAAGUGCGAAUGCUGACAUAAGUAACGAUAAAGCGGGUGAAAAGCCCGCUCGCCGGAAGACCAAGGGUUCCUGUCCAACGUUAAUCGGGGCAGGGUGAGUCGACCCCUAAGGCGAGGCCGAAAGGCGUAGUCGAUGGGAAACGGGUUAAUAUUCCCGUACUUGGUGUUACUGCGAAGGGGGGACGGAGAAGGCUAUGUUGGCCGGGCGACGGUUGUCCCGGUUUAAGCGUGUAGG
rnacentral:rRNA from 1 species